rnacentral:rRNA from 1 species
GAGUAAUACAUCGGAACGUGCCCAGUCGUGGGGGAUAACGUAGCGAAAGCUACGCUAAUACCGCAUACGAUCUAUGGAUGAAAGCGGGGGAUCGCAAGACCUCGCGCGAUUGGAGCGGCCGAUGGCAGAUUAGGUAGUUGGUGGGGUAAAGGCCUACCAAGCCGACGAUCUGUAGCUGGUCUGAGAGGACGACCAGCCACACUGGGACUGAGACACGGCCCAGACUCCUACGGGAGGCAGCAGUGGGGAAUUUUGGACAAUGGGCGCAAGCCUGAUCCAGCCAUUCCGCGUGCAGGAUGAAGGCCCUCGGGUUGUAAACUGCUUUUGUACGGAACGAAAAGGCCUAGGCUAAUACCUUGGGCUCAUGACGGUACCGUAAGAAUAAGCACCGGCUAACUACGUGCCAGCAGCCGCGGUAAUACGUAGGGUGCAAGCGUUAAUCGGAAUUACUGGGCGUAAAGCGUGCGCAGGCGGUGAUGUAAGACGGAUGUGAAAUCCCCGGGCUCAACCUGGGAACUGCAUUCGUGACUGCAUCGCUGGAGUGCGGCAGAGGGGGAUGGAAUUCCGCGUGUAGCAGUGAAAUGCGUAGAUAUGCGGAGGAACACCGAUGGCGAAGGCAAUCCCCUGGGCCUGCACUGACGCUCAUGCACGAA